CCAAAGUGCUGGGAUUACAGGCGUGAGCCACCGCGCCCAGCCAGUUACAUGUUUUCAUGUUAGUCUCCCCUAUUAGCCCAUGAGCACUUUGGGAUAGCUUCAACUGUUGCUGAAUCAAUGAAUGAGUGAAUGAAUGAAUGAAAUGAAAGAACAGCCAAGGUCUCCCAGUAACCAUGAGAACUUCAUUCUUGUUUAUUCCCAUGAAAAUACAGCACUUAAAACCAGGCCUCACUUUUCCAUGAUCACAGAGGAUAUGAACAGACUUAAAACCGAAUAUACAUACCCUGGCCUAAAUUAUGCCUUAAGCAUAGCUGCCAAUAAUAACAACAGCUGGGCGUGGUGGCACAUGCUUGUCCUCCCAGCUACUCGAGAGGUUGAGACAGGAGGAUCACUAAAGCCCAAGAAUUUGAGGCUGUAGUGCGCUAUGACUGUGUCUGUAAAUAGCUACUACACUCCAGCCUGGGCAACAGAGAGAGAUUCCCUCUCUAAAAAACAAGAGCCACAACAGCUGCUAAUUAUUUAUUGUUUAUAAUAUGCCAGACCCUGUGUUAUGUGUCUGGACAUGACGGCCUCACAAAGUGCCAUAAUGAGGCCCAAUUUAUAAACAAAGGAACAGACACUCAGGUCAUAUGACUUGCCUAAGGCCUUAGCUGGUGAGUAGCAGACCCAAGAUUUGAAACUAACCUCUUCAUGGGUACACGGUCCAGCCUCUCCCAGGUUUCCUGGGGCCCUCAGGGGUAGGAAUAAGUUGAAUCUGAGUUAACUAUGAAAUCUACUCUCUACUUAGCAGCCCCCAGAACCACAAGGUGCCUCUGGAAUGAGUCGAUUUUCCUAAAACAAUGACAACAGGCCGGGCGCGGUGGCUCACGCCCGUAAUCCCAGCACUUUGGGAAGCCAAGGCAGGUGGAUCACCUGAGGUCGGGAGUUCAAGACCAGCCUGACCAACAUGGAGAAAUGCCAUCUCUAUUAAAAAUACAAAAUUAGCCAGGCGUGGUGGUGCAUGCCUGUAAUCCCAGCUACUCAGGAGGCUGAGGCAGGAGAAUCACUUGAACCCAGGAGGUGGGGGCUGCCGUGAGCCGAGAUCAUGCCAUUGCACUCCAGCCUGGGCAACAAGAGCAAAACUCAAAAAAAGUUUCGCUCAAAACAAAAACAAACAAACAAAUAAAAAAAACAAUGACAACAACAAUCCCAAUCGUGUCUGUUUCCUCCUUCAAAAACUUUGCUGGUUCCCCUUUGUGUGAGAUAAAUUCCAAGACACCCAGCAGGGGCUCCAGGCCUCUUGCUCGGUCUUGGCCCCUGUCUCCAGGCAGGCCCCGUCGUGCAGCCUACUCUUGUCACCCUGAGAUACUGGCCAGCCAGUGUCUCCCAGUACUCUGCUCCCUUUCCUCCUCUGUAUCUCUACCUGCACCCAGUACAUGUGGGCACUGUGCCACGGGGAAUGAAGAUGAGAACGCACACUUAGUGGCUGUGUGCCAUGUGGAUGCUCACCGAGCCUCUCCAUCGCCCUGGUGAGCCAGCCACCACGAGCCACACUCCACUGGCAAGGCCACUCAGGCUCCCUGAGGCCAGGUGACGGCCCCAUGCAAGCUGCAGGGAAGCAAAGGCGGCCGUGAC
rnacentral:lncRNA from 1 species